GACGAACGCUGGCGGCGUGCCUAACACAUGCAAGUCGAACGGAGAUUCUAGCAAUAGAAUCUUAGUGGCGAACGGGUGAGUAACGCGUAGACAACCUGCCUUCUAGCUGGGGACAACACCGCGAAAGUGGUGCUAAUACCGAAUGUUGUAAUGAUGGUGCAUACUAUUAUUACUAAAGGUGGCCUCUAUUUAUAAGCUAUCACUAGAAGAUGGGUCUGCGUCUGAUUAGCUAGUUGGUGAGGUAAUGGCUCACCAAGGCGACGAUCAGUAGCCGGUCUGAGAGGAUGAACGGCCACACUGGGACUGAGACACGGCCCAGACUCCUACGGGAGGCAGCAGUGGGGAAUCUUCCGCAAUGGACGAAAGUCUGACGGAGCAACGCCGC
rnacentral:rRNA from 1 species